CCUUAAAGAAGCGUACUUUGCAGUGCUCACACAGAUUGUCUGAUGAAAAACGAGCAGUAAAACCUCUACAGGCUUGUAGCUCAGGUGGUUAGAGCGCACCCCUGAUAAGGGUGAGGUCGGUGGUUCAAGUCCACUCAGGCCUACCAGAUUUUCCCUGAAUACUGCGUUGUGAAAUAACUCACAUACUGAUGUAUGCUUCGUUAUUCCACGCCUUGUCUCAGGAAAAAUUAUCGGUAAAGAGGUUCUGACUACACGAUGGGGCUAUAGCUCAGCUGGGAGAGCGCCUGCUUUGCACGCAGGAGGUCUGCGGUUCGAUCCCGCAUAGCUCCACCAUCUCGUGAGUGUUUACGAAAAAAUACUUCAGAGUGUACCUGAAAGGGUUCACUGCGAAGUUUUGCUCUUUAAAAAUCUGGAUCAAGCUGAAAAUUGAAACACAGAACAACGAAAGUUGUUCGUG
rnacentral:misc_RNA from 1 species